UGGGAGCAAAGAAAGAAUAACACAGAAAGACAGAGGGAAGAAACCUCUCCGAUCAUCUGUCUCCUCCAGGUGGCUUUAGAGAUUAAAGAACAGACAGGACGGGACAGGAGGCGAAGGGAGGUGACAGCACAUCUGGCUUUGAUUCUCCACAUCCUCUACAACACCUCGUGGACAGCUGAAGCAAAAUCCUAAUUUUCAUAUACAGGAACUGGCGUUGAAUCUAAUGAGGCGGACUUAAAAGAAAGAAUGGGAAACUCACACAGUUAUAUUAACUCUUAAAUACUGACGAUUUACCAGGACGUGUGAGGUGUGUGAAUAUCAAAAAUAGUUAGUGUAAUCAUCAAGAAAGCACUCUGACAGCCGAGUAAGGGACA